rnacentral:rRNA from 1 species
ACGUAGGGGGCGAGCGUUGUCCGGAAUCACUGGGCGUAAAGCGCGCGCGGGUGGUUUCGUAGGUCGGCCGUGACAGACAUGGGCUCAACCCGUGCAGGUCGGUCGAUACCGCGGGCCUGGAGUAUGGGAGAGGAAAGCGGAAUUCCCGGUGUAUCGGUGAAAUGCGUAUUUAUCGGGAGGAGCGCCAGUGGCGAAGGCGGCUUUCUGGCCCAUCUCUCACACUGAGCCGCUUGAGCCGGGGUAGCUAACGG